UACGUAGGGUCCAAGCGCUAUCCGGAAUCACUGGGCGUAAAGCGUGCGUAGGUGGCGUGUUAAGUGUGAUGUUAAAUCGUGGGGCUCAACCCUAUCGAUGCAUCGCAUACUGGCAUGCUAGAGGGAAGCAGAGGCAAGUGGAAUUUGUAGUGUAGCAGUGAAAUGCGUAGAUAUUACAAGGAACACCAAUGGCGAAGGCAGCUUGCUGGGCUUCUUCUGACACUGAGGUACGAAAGCGUGGGGAGCGAACAGG
rnacentral:rRNA from 1 species